rnacentral:lncRNA from 1 species
UUGGGAGGAGGAAGAAGAAGGAUGAAGAUCAGAGAAGGAUCAAAGCCCCUGCAGCCUUCUUUCUUUUCCCUGCGUUGGAAGGAGGAAAGGAGGAGGAGGAGGCCGCCAAGGCCUUCUUCUUUUUUUCUCCUUGCUUGCGGAUGAACCAAGAGGAAGAAGAGGGGGUGUACGGCACAAGGAAGAGGAGAAUUUCCAAUACCUAGGUGUCGCCAAGCCCCUCUCCUUAUAAAGCAUCUAGGGCUCCU